rnacentral:lncRNA from 1 species
ANAAAAUAAAUAAAAUUACAAUUUUUAUGGUAAUAUCUAAAGUUGACAAUUCAAACAUAAUGAUGAAAACGUAAAUGCUGUUCUUUAAAUUCUUAUAAAUACGUCGAUUAUGCAUAUCACUAUUUGUAUGAGAUUUUAAUGCAUGAUUGUAUUGACAUUUGACACCUAUGAAGUAUGACCCCAACACGUUUCGUCACCAGGUAUGAUAUUUCUGUCCCUCACAUGACUCACAUGGCAGUUGGACCGACGCCAAUUACUCAGUACUCCCCAUUCUAGAAUACUCGCAUGCCACAUUUAGAAAUUAUUUUUGGCCC